AUGACGAUGAUCCUUCGCCUGCAGCGGGAGAAGGCAGAGGCCAUGAUGGAGGCGCGCCAGUUCCGGCGCUACGCAGAGGAGAAGAUGUCCCACGACGCCGCGGAGCUCGCCGUCCUCGAGGAGACCAUCGCCAAGCGCGAGGCCUCGGUGCGCGGCCUCCAGUCUCUGUCACGCCUCAGCGUCGCCAACGCUGCAUCGUUGCAUUCCACCCCGCGAGUCUCCUCCACGCCGCGCAACCCGUCCACGCCAUCGACGGUUGGGGCCGGCGGCUAUUACCCACCGUUGCGGUGCUUUAGUAGCCGCUUUAAUGACCACCCGCCGACCGCGUCGGAGGCGGACGUGCUCGACAUGCAGACCCCGCGCGACCACCUCGCGCGCCUCUCCAACCGCGUCCAAAUGCUCGAGCACCGCGCACCGCCCACAUCCACCACUACGCCCAUCAUCCGCGUCGCGCCGGGCUCCACCUUCCCCCGCAACCCGCGUCCAUUCUCCGACACUGACAGCCUUGACUUCUGCGACGGCGAGUACUUCCCGGACGACGACUGCGGCGCCAGCGAUCGGGUGUACACCGUGGACGCCAUCCACGGCCGCGGUGUUCCCCUGGUCGUGCCAGAGGGCUCCAUCUGUGGCGGCACUCCGGCCGGGAGCGAAUGCUGCGCCGGCGGGCCGUGGGGGGAAGACGAGGAUAUGCGUCGGCUCAGCGCGCGCCUCCAGGCGCUGGAGGCGGACCGAGAGACCAUGCGCCAGGCCAUCAUCUCCAUGGGCGCCGAGAAAGCGCAGGUGGUGCUUCUCAAGGAGAUCGCGCAACAGCUGUGCAAGGACGCCCCGCCACCUUUGCCGGCGGUGACCGUGGGGCAACAUUACUACAAGGGGGCAGCGCCACCGGCCGUGACCGUCACCGUACCACGGCCGCAGCGACCGAUGGUCAUGCACAGGAUGGUGCUCAAGAGCCAGCCCACGAGGACGCCAUUCUUUUCUACUGUAGUCAAGUGGGUCGCAUCUAUCGUCUCGUGGCGAAGGAAAUCUUCCCGUAUCAAGUACCCUAUUGGCCAAUGCGGUAACAAUGUCGGGUUGAUGUUGCUGCUCGACAAGUCCUCAAAAGCUGCAGGCAACGGGCAUCAUAAACCUCCCAAAAGGAUUUAG
rnacentral:rRNA from 1 species